rnacentral:rRNA from 1 species
GAAUUCCCGGUGUAGCGGUGAAAUGCGUAGAGAUCGGGAGGAAUACCAGUGGCGAAGGCGGCCUUCUGGACUGACACUGACGCUGAGGUGCGAAAGCGUGGGUAGCAAACAGGAUUAGAUACCCUGGUAGUCCACGCCGUAAACGAUGUCGACUA